AUGCUGUCAUAAGUGGGUUUAUGAUCCAUUUUGGUUUGGUUUAGAACAUGCUUUUAACACCAAAUCAUAAAGGGACAGUCAUGUUUUCUUUCACCUUGUAACGGCUGUAGGCAGAGAAGAGAAAAGAGGCAGAGACAUCCCGUAUGCGUUCGUGUUGGAGGAGCAGAGCACGGAGAACUGCUCCACACACAUUACCAUAAUAAAGCAGCAAAAACCUUCCAAAAUUAGUAAUCAUUAUUCAAGUUUUACUGAGUCGAU